rnacentral:rRNA from 1 species
AGAGUUUGAUCCUGGCUCAGGAUGAACGCUAGCUACAGGCUUAACACAUGCAAGUCGAGGGGAAACGGCAUUGAGUGCUUGCACUCUUUGGACGUCGACCGGCGCACGGGUGAGUAACGCGUAUCCAACCUUCCCAUUACUGUGGGAUAACCUGCCGAAAGGCAGACUAAUACCGCAUAGUCUUCGAUGACGGCAUCAGAUUUGAAGUAAAGAUUUAUCGGUAAUGGAUGGGGAUGCGUCUGAUUAGCUUGUUGGCGGGGUAACGGCCCACCAAGGCGACGAUCAGUAGGGGUUCUGAGAGGAAGGUCCCCCACAUUGGAACUGAGACACGGUCCAAACUCCUACGGGAGGCAGCAGUGAGGAAUAUUGGUCAAUGGACGGAAGUCUGAACCAGCCAAGUAGCGUGCAGGAUGACGGCCCUAUGGGUUGUAAACUGCUUUUGUAUGGGGAUAAAGUUAGGGACGUGUCCCUAUUUGCAGGUACCAUACGAAUAAGGACCGGCUAAUUCCGUGCCAGCAGCCGCGGUAAUACGGAAGGUCCAGGCGUUAUCCGGAUUUAUUGGGUUUAAAGGGAGCGUAGGCUGGAGAUUAAGUGUGUUGUGAAAUGUAGACGCUCAACGUCUGAAUUGCAGCGCAUACUGGUUUCCUUGAGUACGCACAACGUUGGCGGAAUUCGUCGUGUAGCGGUGAAAUGCUUAGAUAUGACGAAGAACUCCGAUUGCGAAGGCAGCUGACGGGAGCGCAACUGACGCUUAAGCUCGAAGGUGCGGGUAUCAAACAGGAUUAGAUACCCUGGUAGUCCGCACAGUAAACGAUGGAUGCCCGCUGUUGGUACCUGGUAUCAGCGGCUAAGCGAAAGCAUUAAGCAUCCCACCUGGGGAGUACGCCGGCAACGGUGAAACUCAAAGGAAUUGACGGGGGCCCG